GGUACACAGCAAGGAGGCUCCCUGAGGAACAGUCAGAGGAAGUCUUCCUACAAAAUACCUGCCAGUGAGGUACAGAUCCUGUUUAGAACUGGAUGACAAAUUGUUCCCUUUGUCUUAAAAAAUAGAAGGCCAACUGAAAUGAAGUAGUCAAAGUAAAAAAGUGCCUGCCUGGAGCAUUGUGAUCUUGAGUUUAUAAGCUACCCUCCCCUAAUGGGGAGCAAAAAGGACCAGAAUGUCAAAAUCUAGCACGAAGAAGAGGUGAACAACAAGCCAAGUAGAUAGUCUGAAAGGUGCUCUUCAAUGUGGCACAAAUAAGACCACAGCUUCUGGGAACAGCAGUGCUACCUAGAAGAAAACUAGGACACUGAAAUUUGAAGACUUAAUGGAGUUUGGUGCCUUCACUUAUCUGAUGUCUAUGAAGCCUGACACUCCACUUCUCAUCUCUAAGAUCAUACUUAAGCUUCAGUGACAAGCUUCUACUCUGCUAAUGAUUUUAUGAUCUUGUUACCCAUUGUAAUUGCUUAAAUGGCAUUUUAAUUAGUUGCUUUAAAUGACUAUUUUUUAAAAGUCAUGCAGGCUUCAGUUUUAAAUAUGUAUGACUGGUGUUUCUCUAUACAAGAUGAAUGUGUUUAGUACAAAGGGAAAAGAGAAUAUUUGUAGAAGUUUUAGUCAAUCAUUUCUGUACGUCAGAUUAAUUUCUGAAGUAUGAAUAUUUCAAUAUUUUUGUGGAUGUAAUAAUGUUAUUAAAGUUUCCUUAUAUUUGUUUUGGUUCUUACACUUUUUUUGCUUAAAUUCUUUUAUUGGCACAUUUUAGGUAUGC
ensembl:lncRNA